CCCGCUGAACUUAAGCAUGUUAAUAAGCGGAGGAAAAGAAACUAACAAGGAUUCCCCUAGUAACGGCGAGUGAAGCGGGA
rnacentral:ncRNA from 1 species